GAAUCGCAUGUAUUUUCACGCGCCACCUGAAAUUUCACUCUGACUCUCACGUGCCGGCGCGUGUAGGCGCGUGAUCCGAUAAAACCGAUCGGAGAUGAUGUUCGGCGUUGACUUGUCAAAUAUGGGUCAACUCUGGAACAGAUGCCUUUCAGGGAUAGACAUUCGUGUUGAAGGGUGCAUGCUAUUAUCCUGGUGGUGAUGAUGGUACAUCUUCUGGCCUUCUGUUUGAUGAUUAGCAAAUAAGUCUCGUGAUACGAUUUAAUACGUAGGAAUCACGAUCAGUAGUUUAACUAAUCAUAACGCACCUGAAAAUGAUCUACUGUACUUGCUUUCGGUCUACUCUUGCCCUUUAAAUGUGAAUCAAGAUUCUUCUGUA